UACAUUGCCAAUUGUGUUAGCUUAACAGCUCUCAUCUACAUUCAAGACAAUGUGAGUUGGGGUUUAGCAUUUGGGAUUUGCACCGUCCUGAAUGCUAUUGCUUUGGUACUUUUUUUAUCGGGAAAACGAUAUUACCGACGCAUCAAGCCUAAGAGAAGCCCAUUCCUUAGCAUUAUGUGUGUAAUAUUUGCAGCGAUUCGGAAGAGAAAUGUCCCAGGCACUUUUGGCAGUCAAGAUUAUUAUUAUGGAAGUGUUGAGAUGACAAAUAUCUUUAAUAAUGGUCCAAGUAAAAGUUUAAGGUACUACACUUUCCAUUUCAAAUAUAAAUCGAAGAACUUGAAAAGCGCUUGCUAGGAUCUUUGAUCAUGCAUUUGCACAAUUUUCAUGCAGAUUCUUGAAUUGCGCAGCCCUAAAAAUUGAGAGUGAAGAUAGUCAAUCGAGUCGUUCCAAUGCAGGAUCAUGGAAGCUCUGCACAGUGGAAGAAGUGGAAGACCUCAAAACCCUACUCAAGAUCAUGCCAUUAUGGUCAAGUAGCAUUCUCUUAAGUACCACCAUAGGUGUGCUUAACAGCCUGGCAAUCGUCCAAGUUCUAACCAUGGAUCGACAUCUCGGACCACACUUCAAAAUCCCAGCAGGUUCUUUCAUAAUGUUUAACCUACUAGCCACAGCUCUCUCAAUCUUUAUCAUUGACCGUUUCCUCCACCCAGCAUGGCAAAAGUUCAUCCCUAUUUGGCCUCUGACACCCCUUCGACGAAUCGGGAUUGGCCACAUCAUCAAUAUCCUUGCCAUGAUGGGAUCUGCCCUAAUCGAAAUGAGGCGUCUCCAUGUGGUCCGAACACAUCAGCGGGUCACUAAUCAGUCUGACUAUGUGGUACCCAUUUCCGGUCUAUGGCUUGUUGUGCCACUAACAAUUUUAGGUAUUGGUGAGGCAUUUCACUUCCCUGGACAAAUUGCAUUGUACUACCAAGAAUUUCCGAAGUCAUUGAAAGGUACUUCCACGGCAAUGAUAUCGUUACUAAUUGCAAUCGGGCUUUAUCUAAGUACCGUCAUCAUGAAUUUAGUUCGUAAAAUAAUAGGAUGGUUGCCGGAUAACAUUAACCAUGGAAGAUUGGAUAAUGUGUUUUGGAUGUUGGCAGUAAUUGGAGUAGUGAACUUGGGAUAUUAUUUAGUUUGUGCAAAGUUGUUCAAGUAUCAAAAUCUAGAGAAAUCUAAUGACUCUGGUAGUCAUGUUCACUAGAAGGAAAAUUUCUCUUCUUUGAGAUAAUUGUGUUUGUUUGGAUUUUAUUUUCACGUUUGUUGCCAAUUUGGAUGUAAUUUCUAAGUUUUUUUACUUUGAAAUAAUUGUGCUUGUUUGAAAUUUGUAUAAUAAAUUUUCAUGUUUGUUGCGAAUUUGGCUGUAAUUUCCAAGUUUACUAUAUGAAUUGGAUAUAAAUAAAAUAAAUUUAUUCCAAUCUUUCAUAACCACUUUUAAAAUCUUUCAUUUGUGUUUAUGGCAAGUCAUUAAUUUAGAUGGAUAACUUGACUUUUCUCUUGAUUCCUUCAUUGCAUCCUUUCUAAUUAACUCAUAAGAAGGUAAAAUAAGAGAUUAUUAAUCCUAACAAUGAACUAAGAAUAUAAUACAAUCGUACCAUUUAAUAUAAAAAUAAAUUGCAACAACAAUAAAUUUAUGAUCAUUAUUUAAAGUUAUAUAUAUAUGUAUUCGCGUGCGCGAAAUUUAUUUUAAAAAAACAUGAGAUAUUAUUUCAUAUGGUUAACAAACUUUAGAAGUGUAAUUACAAUACUGUAGCCCCCAAGGAUGAAAAUUCAUCCUACUCAUGCCACCAACAUUACAAACGCAAUAUACAAAGCCUUGUGGACACAACAUAUUAAUACUACAGCAACAUAUUUCCCAUGUGACCUUCAACACGUCAAACUAUAGCAAACCACACACACUAGAACAAGAAUGUGCCAUAAUCAUGCAUUACACAACACAAAACAUGUACUAGAAUCAGGAUUUAUUAUAAACAACCAGCAACUCCUUAGUACACCCUACUCCAUCUAGGAAUGGUGACUGGGAGAGGUGACUUAAGGAUAUCUAUGGUGGAACUUUCGAGCCAAACGUGCUUCCCUUGAUUGAGUACUUGGCUUUGGGCACGCCAUUCAAAAUGGUUUCAAGGCUAGAAGCAGAAUGCAAAACCAACUUUGUAAACAAUGGCUGCUCUCCAUUUAGGACUUCCUGCAUAUCAACUCCUUCAACGAAACUAUCCCCCAAUUUACUACUUACGCGAUCACAAGCAAAAACAAAAAAAAUAAAAACAUAAUAUAGUUCAUAUUGAAAAACAUUAGUCAAGAUUAUGUAUAGAUCAAUUUGCAAAUAUCAAGAUUGAAAAUUAAGAGAAAAAUUAAGUAGUUAACGAAGAAGUCUGUUAUGUCUUUCUCUGAUAUGGGGUACCCUUUGAAAAAUGUUAAGAAAAUAGUUCUAUUCUCUGUUGGGACUUCUUGAUUAUUAUUAUUAUUAUUAUUAUUUCUUCCAAACCCUUAAUGCAAAUGGAGUGUGUAUUACAUAUUCAGUAGUUCCUCCAUUUCCUCAUCCAAAGACUGUCUUUGAGUCUUGAUAUUAUAAGGACCAACUUCUUGGAAAAGACACAAAUUGCUGGAAUUCCUAUUGGGCCAGAAAACUCGCUUAUUUCCCAUGUUUUGAUCACCAAAGAUUCCAACCUCAGAAUUAUAGUUGUUGAAUACAGGCAAAGUUGGCCUAGUCAAUGGACCAUAAAACCUUGAUGGCUCCAAACUUUGUUCAACUCUGUGGUGGGCAUCCAUUGAAUUAAUAGUCAAUGCUUGUUGCAAUAUAUCUCUAGAGGCUCGAAAACAAACAUCCUGAAUAUUUUGAAUAAUCCCAAGAAUAAUACGAAGACGAUUAUGAUGAAAGAAACGAAGAGAGGCCCAAUUUUUCUGUCAAUCCUUGAAUCAAAGGAAUGAGAUAGUUGGAGUCUUUGAAAUUAUUGUACGGGAAUGCAUCACUCUUUAUACAAUUCAAGCAGAGGGCAGCCUCCCUAGCCAAUGCAUUGAUCAGAUUAUUAGACCAGGGUUGAAUAUUGAAAACCAAGUUUCAAGCAGGGUUAUCGCCAUCUCCAACCCAAAGGAGGAAAGCCAUCACGUGAAUGGACUCGCCUAAAUCACGUCGGAGGUUCAGAACAAGCCUGGCAAAGAUGUGUCGAUCAAUGGUAUGAAACACAUUGAUUAAUAAAACCAUUUGAGUCUCCCAAGAAGUAGAUGAAGAGGAAGCAACCAUUGUGUGUGGGAGGAAAUCGGAAAAUUUGUAUUGUUAUCAAAUGUUAGUUUUCAAGAUUUUAUAUAAAGGAAAGGGUGCCACUGAAGGAAGGUUUCAUCAUGAUUAGCUGUAACUUUUCAAGAGUUGUGGCUUUUAAAAAAAUAUAAAACUUUCGAAGAGGUGUUGCUUUUCAUACAAAACUUUUGAAGAGGUAUUAUUUUGAAUUUUACAAAAAAUGACAAAUUUGAGUGAAUUUCUUUAUUGAGAAUUUCAAAGCAACGGUCGAAUUUUAGGUAAAUUUCGUUUGAUUUAAAAGAAAAAUAAAAAUUCAUGAAGAUUAUUCGGAAUGAAAUGUUACCAAACUCAAUUUCUCCUGCAAAAAAAAUACUAACCAAAAACAAAUAAAAUAAAAUUGUUCUCCUGAGAUUCUUCUUUGCUGCCGAGUAAAUUGGUUAUUGGCUCAUUUUCAAAUAUCUUCUAACAUAUAUUGCAAGUUUCCAGGUCUAGAAUUAUAGACGCUGUCCUUGUUUCUCCAUGUCCUCACUUUAUAAGAUCAAGUAGAUCGAGGCACGAGUACUGGGUUUUAUUUUGUUCAUGUAUUCCAUCUAUUAAGAGUCUAGACAAGCAACGUCCUGUCUACUGAAUUGAUCACAGAAAUGCACAUUCUUUUUUCCCAGCAAAUACAUAUUUUUGUAUUCGCAAGUAUGGGAUUUGUUACUUUCGCACAAUAUGAUGUUCUUUCUUGUAGGGCUGACAUAUUUGGUGUUUCAGUGUGUGAAAACUGAAAAGUUUUCAGUUCUUGGUGGUCUAAACCAAAAGUUUGUUAACGUCAUUUCUGUUAACUAUUAAAUAUUGCAAAAAAUAAACUUCCAUGUCUCUCCCAGUGUGCAAAACGUAUUAAUGCAUGAAUUAAUUUAAGUAAAAAAGGAGGGGGUGUGCUUGCCAGAAUCCAGAUUUAUUUUUAAGCUGUAUCCACCAGGUCUGCUCUCUCCCUCUCUCUGGAAUCAGGUUCAAUGGAUAUAAAUAUUGUCAAUUGGAGGAACGAAUACAAGAAUAUAUGGUUUGCGUCCUAUAAACAGUUGUCCGUCAGGAUGAUUCUGGAUUAAUUCGGAACAGAUUUAAAUUGGGGAUGAAAAAUUUCUGUACAGAUGUGAGAUGCGUCCAUCAUUGGCAUGAAGCAUUGCCACACUUUCUGUCUUUGAUAAGUUUUUCAAGAAGCAAACCAGUAGUUUUUUACUCAAACCAUGCACAUCUUCUUCUCCUUUCUUAGAUUUUUUUUGAAUUCUCUAAAGAUGAAUAUCAAGUAAAAUAUAUUGUUGAUGGAUACGUUCCUUGCUUCAGGGUCCUGGUGCUUUCAUAAGUGGAAGUGACUGCUGUUUCAUGGUCGUGUUCCAGUAUGGGUCCAUUGCGUUAUUUAAUAUUCGUGAACAUGAAGUGGAUGCGUAUCUGAAAAUUGUUGAAAAGCAUGCAUCGGGAUUGCUUCCAGAAAUGAGAAAGGAUGGUGAGUUCUUAUGUCCUCAUUGAAUUUAUCUUUUAAAUCACUAUUUUAUGCUUCUUAUCUAGACUUUCCAUGAGUAGAGAUCUAGCAUUUUGAGACUGUAAAGUUGGGAGCUAACAUGAUUUUAUUAAUACAACAAUAAAUAAUGUGCUUAUGCACUUAAAUUCUGUAAUAGUGCAUCCUUAUGUUUUGCAGAAUCAAACAAAUUCCCUUCAUCAUCCAUCUCGUCAAGAGAAGAGUAUUUAAGAAUGCUCAAAACAAAAAAAAUUUAACAUCUUGAAGAUAGACUUUAUGGACCAAAUGCCAUCUUUAUCCUUUCUUUCUCCUGUCUCUUAAAAAGGUUCUGUUUACCUCUUGCUUCUUAUUCUUCCUCUUUCUUUUGCAAGCCCUUUUCGUAACUUGUUAUGUUGUUGCGAACAAGGAAGAAGGUUCUUCCUAUGAAGGAUUAAUUGCCUUAAAGCAAUAGAAAACCAUGGCUUAAUUAUCUUUUGUCAUCGUCUUUUCUCUCUCUCUCUCUUGCCAAUUGUUUUCUCUCCUUCUUAUGCAUGUGCACACUUGCUCUCAUUAACUUACAUUAUAGUUUCUCAUAUCCUGUGUAUAUUGACACACACUAUAUAUACAGGCAUGUGAAAUAGGGUUUGGUGGGAAGUGAGGGGAUUCAGAUAGCUUGGGUAUCAACUUGAUAUUUUCCUCUUAUUUCAAUGGGUUUCUUCUACGUAUUGGUUUUCAUUCAUUUUUGACUAGAUCUUUUUUAUAAAACAUAUUCUGCUUGAUCAUUCUUCUACACUAUGCCCUGUUAUUAAAGAUUAGAUCUGUUGCUUUCCUAAGGAAAAGGGAACCACGUAAGGUACUGCAUCAUAGGAGUUUUUGUUAUAUUUGAGUUGAUAUGUUAUGAUUUUGCAGAGUAUGAGGUAAGAGAGAAGCCAAGUUUAAACACAUGGAUGCAAGGCGGAUUAGAUUACAUUAUGUUGCAGUAAAAAACAUUAUGUUGCGGAUUAAAUUUGAUAUGUUAUGACUUUACGGACAUUAACCGUGGGAUGGAAAAGACAGGAACAUUUACUAUGGACAGUAAAAAACUUUUUCAGAUAGUGGGAAAGGCGAAUACUAAUCUUGCUGACGUGAUUCUUAAGCUUUGGACAUUUUGACAGGUAACUUCUUACAGCCCAUUUUGAAGGUAAUUGGCACAUAGUAUGUGUCAUGACCUUGGAAUAUCAUAGGCUUGGUCAUGAGAGAGCACUAUGUAUUAUCUCAUUCAUAAAUACCUGAUAGAGCUAGCUAGUGGAAGUACUAGAGACAUUGAGAGAUAUACUUGCAUAUAUACUCUGCCAAAAUUCCAUAACUUCUUCGUUUUCUCAAAGAGAGAAGUAUAUAUGGUACCCUCACAGUUAGAACAAAUUGAAGGAAGCAAACUCUCCACUCCUAAUGAAGAUGGAAUAACGACUAUGGAUUACAAGGGAGGAGGACGGACAACUUUCCCCUUUAUUAUAGGUAACACUUUUGGUUAAUCAAGUUUUUCUUUUCAAUGUCUCGAGUUAUUCGAUAUUCUUUUAAUUUAUCUGUACAGGUAAAUUUUAUUUAAAACUCAUUUCGAGUUAAUUUAACUAAUAAAUAAAUAGAUCGAUUUCUCGUGUUAAUAACUUGGAUUUUGAAUCUUAAAACUCCCUUUCAUGCUUAAAAAUAGAAUCAAUUUAAUCCAUGCGAGUGCUUUAAGCAUAUGCAGGAAGUAUGACAGGGCUUCCCUGGUAGCCGGUGGAUGGGGAGCAAAUUUGAUAGUAUUUCUGAUAAAUGAGUUCCAUGUGGAGAGCAUCACUGCAACUCGGAUCAAUAAUGUUAUACUUGGCUGCAACUAUCUCUUUCCCAUUGCUGGAGUCAUAGUUGCCGACACCUUCUUUGACUCUUACACAGUCAUCACCACAUUUGCCUUUGUCUCCUUGUUGGUAAUAGCACUAUUAAAUAUCUCACUUAUUAAAAAACUAUUUAAUUAAUAUUUAUGAAAUAAAUUAAUCUUAAUCAACAUGUUUUAACUUCUUCUAAUGCUUUUCAUGAUUGGUGUGGGUUGGUAAGAAAUCUUGUUAGAUGGUGGGAUUUUUUAAUUUUUUUUCCUUUUGUGAAUGGUGAGAUUUUCUUGUUGUUUUGGGAUAGUUGGUGCGGUUCAGUAGGAUAAUUUGUCAUAUAGUGGGGAUUUUUUUUUGUAAAUGGUGGAAUUUGUUUUUGAAAAAAGAUAAUUCAUUUUAUAAUGAUAAAUGUUUGAUUACACAUUAAUUAACUAUCUUCAAAAUAUAUAAUAAUAAAUUAAAAUAUUCUACUCGAUGCAAAGAAUGAAUAUAAUAAAACGUUCAUUCAAGCCUCAUAAAUUGUGGGUUUGAUGUAAUUUUCAAUUAUAUGUUCGUUAAUUGAUUGGUUUAUUUAUUGAUUUUUUCAUAUAAAAAGUAAUAUAAUUUACUAAUAAUUAUAAUUACUACUUUUACAUUAUACGUGUAAAAUUCAUUGAAAAAAUUUACAUAGGUCCCAUCGCUGUAACAUAUAGAUUGACUUUAAUCUGCAUAUCUUAUCAUGCUUUUUCUAAUAUUCUGAGGCUAUGUACACUUGAAUAUGUCAACAGUACUUCAGCUUAGCUAUGAUGACUCGAAAAUUCAUAAAGAAAUGAAAACGUUUUAUUUCUAUACACAAACAAUAAAACAGAACAUAAACUUUUCUUUUGUCCCUUUAUUACUUAUUUUUUUUUCUUUUACAUAUAUAUGAUCUUGGAUUACAUAUUUUAUAAUAAAUAACUUGACAUAUAGUAUUAAAGAUAGAUUAUUAUUUUUUUGAAAGGCAUUAAAGAUAGAUUAUGACAUAAUCCUUUGCCUGUGAAAUCUAUGUCCAUUUUCCUUGAUUUGCAUGUGUUAGAGGUGAUAUCUUAUACCAAUAAAUGGAUUUUUUUAAUAAUAUUUUGGCUUUAUAUUUAUUCAAACUUAAGCAUCAGGGUAUGAUAUUGUUAACCCUUACAGCCACAAUCCAUUCCUUGAAGCCUUUGCCAUGUGCAAUGGGUGCAUUCAAAUGUCCUACUCCAUCAAAGCUUCAGUUCGCAGUCCUUUACAUAGCUUUAGCACUCGCUUCACUUGGCGUCGGGGGCACAUGUUUUACAAUUGCAACCAUGGGAGAUGAUCAAUUUGACAAUGCCAAAGAUCAAGGGAUAUUUUUCAAUUGGUAUUUUUUGGCAUUAUACGUUGCCAAUUGUGUUAGCUUAACAGCUAUCAUCCACAUUCAAGACAAUGUGAGUUGGGGUUUAGCAUUAGGGAUUUGCAUUGUCGUGAAUGCUACUGCUUUGGUACUCUUUUUAUCAGGAAAACGAUUUUACCGAUGCAUCAAACCUAAGGGAAGCCCAUUCCUUAGCAUUCUGUGUGUAAUAUUUGCAGCGAUUCAGAAGAGAAAUG
rnacentral:lncRNA from 1 species